rnacentral:rRNA from 1 species
UACGAAGGGUGCUAGCGUUGUUCGGAAUUACUGGGCGUAAAGCGCGCGUAGGCGGCUUAACAAGUCAGGGGUGAAAUCCUGGGGCUCAACCCCAGAAUUGCCUUUGAAACUGUUAAGCUUGAGUGUCGGAGGGGAUAGCGGAAUUGCUAAUGUAGAGGUGAAAUUCGUAGAUAUUAGCAGGAACACCGGUGGCGAAGGCGGCUAUCUGGACGACAACUGACGCUGAGGCGCGAAAGCGUGGGGAUCAAACAGG